CCUACGGGAGGCUGCAGUGGGGAAUCUUUGACAAUGGACGCAAGUCUGACCCAGCAACGCCGCGUGAGGGAAGAAGGCUCUCCGGUUGUAAACUCCCUGUAAGGGGGAAGAGCAGAAGACGGUACCCCUUGAAUAAGCCACGGCUAACUACGUGCCAGCAGCCGCCGUCAUACGUAGGUGGCAAUCGUUGUCUGGAGUUACUGGGUGUAAAGGGCGUGCAGCCGGAGAGGAAAGUCAGUGGUGAAAUCCACGGGCUCAACCCGUGGACGGCAUUUGAAACUGUUUCCCUUGAGUGUCGGAGAGGUAAUCGGAAUUCCUGGUGUAGCGGUGAAAUGCGUAGAUAUCAGGAGGAACACCAGUGGCGAAGGCGGAUUACUGGACGAUAACUGACGGUGAGGCGCGAAAGCGAGGGGAGCGAACAGGAUUAGAUACCCGAGUAGUC
rnacentral:rRNA from 1 species